ensembl:snRNA U2 U2 spliceosomal RNA
AGCUCUCAGCCUUUUGGCUAAGAUCAAGUGUAGUAUCUGUUCUUACGAGAAAACAAGGGAAAUAAAAUGUUACGCUCAGAAGCCAGCCCCCUAACUGUUAACUAGUUCGGGCUUUUAUCCCACAUAGGCCUGGAUUACAACCCCAGACUUCUAAAUAAUUCUA